AGAGUUUGAUCAUGGCUCAGGACGAACGCUGGCGGCGUGCCUAACACAUGCAAGUCGAACGGACGAGAGGGAGCUUGCUCCCUCAAGUUAGUGGCGGACGGGUGAGUAACGCGUGAGCAACCUGCCUUUCAGAGGGGGAUAACGUCUUGAAAAGGACGCUAAUACCGCAUGACAUUAUGGAGCCACAUGGCUCUAUAAUCAAAGGAGCAAUCCGCUGAAAGAUGGGCUCGCGUCCGAUUAGGUAGUUGGCGGGAUAACAGCCCACCAAGCCGACGAUCGGUAGCCGG
rnacentral:rRNA from 1 species